AGGGCUACCGUUGCUAUGAUCCGAUUACUCGUUGUGUUCGUGCUUCAAGGAAUGUUGUCUUCUUAGAAAAUUUUCCAUUUCAUACUCUAAUCUUACCAAAUUCAACUACUUCUAAUGAUUUUAGAGGAUUAACCUAGUUUUUUGAUAUCCCACAUGUUGCAAGUUUAUCUUUUGCUCAUUUAUAGAUCUGUCAACGAGAAGAAAUAGAAGCGCUCCAUCUUCCAUCACCUCCUGCUAAUCAACUUGCGGCCGAUCCAUCCCUUCCAAAGCGCCUUUUAGUUUGGGGCAGCAUUUCCUAUGGGUGGCGCCUAGCUUUGAUCAAUCUUGCCCGUUCAUAUGGUGGCCUUAAAGAGAAUGUGUGAGUGGACCACAAGAAGAGCUCCACUUCAGUCUUCAGAUUGGUUAGCAGUUUCCAAUGGCUGUUGUCUAUAUUUUACUUCUGACUCUUUCAAGGAACCGAUGACUAGAAUUGCAUGAUAUGGUUAUUUUGGGUUCAUUAAGCUGCUAUCCAUGUUUGAAAUGGUGAUGCAACUUGCAGGUCUUUUAAAAAUGUAUUUCCUUUGUAUAAGUAGUGUUUUAAGUAUCGACGAUAUCGGCCGAUAUAUCUCACGAUAUAUCUUGUAUCCCACAUGUGUGAUAUGAAACAUACAAGUAGUGUAUCCCGCAUAUUCGAUUUGA